UUCGCAAUGCCCGAAAGGGUGACGAAGCGACGCCGCGUGUGGGAAGAAGGCCUUCGGGUUGUAAACCACUGUCGGGAGUUAAGAAAUGCAAGGGUGCUAAUAGUAUCCUUGCUUGACUAAGGCUCCGGAGGAAGCCACGGCUAACUCUGUGCCAGCAGCCGCGGUAAUACAGAGGCGGCAAGCGUUGUUCGGAAUUAUUGGGCGUAAAGAGCACGUAGGCGGCUAUGUAAGUCGGUUGUGAAAGCCUUCCGCUCAACGGAAAAACAGCAUCCGAUACUGCAUGGCUUGAGUGCGGGAGGGGAGAGUGGAACUUCUGGUGGAGCGGUGAAAUGCGUAGAUAUCAGAAGGAACGCCGGCGGCGAAAGCGGCUCUCUGGCCCAUAACUGACGCUGAGUGUGCGAAAGCUAGGGGAGCAAACGGGAUUAGAUACCCCGGUAGUCCUAGCCGUAAACGAUGGGCACUAAGUAGAGGGGUUUU
rnacentral:rRNA from 1 species